GGUGAGCAGUAGGAUAUUUUGUUGUUGUGUCGGUACAAUUUCCUUUAUAUAAUUGUAUCUGUGUUGUUGCUUUGGAGAAGAAACAUAGAAGAGAGAAUUUUGAGGAAAUAGAACAGAAAUAUUAGAGAACAGAAAGAAAGCCGCGACACAUAGAGGGCUGAGUUUGUUUGAUGCACAAAGGGUCCAGAUUAUUAUUUUACAGUUUUCAGGUACCGAGGAUGAGCUUGGAUUGAUAGUAGCGGGCUAGGAGGAAGAGUAGGAGUUGAGGAAUUAAAUUAUUUUAUCUAGAGAUUUUUAUGUAUUUAUUUAAGGAAAUUGAUUUAGUAUCAAUUUAAUUAAUUUGAGAUGUUGUCUUAUUCAUUUGAGGAAAUUUGAUUGAUUUUGAGA